rnacentral:tmRNA from 1 species
GGGGCUGAACGGUUUCGACUUUGGUCGUACGGUUCAGGAGAAGCGGGUAGAGGACCCAUGGUCAUCUCUUUAACGAUCCAUGGAAACUCACAAGUGCCGAGAACAAGCGCACUGACUUCGCCCUCGCUGCCUGACAGCGACUGGUGAAGGGCGGACCUGGAGUGUUCCCGAUCCAGAUCAUCCGUCUCAUCUAGGGGACUUGCUGGUCACGCCGUGCCACGGGGCGUGACCGGGACUUCUUCGUGGCUGAGCCUGUCGGUGACGCGUUCGUCCGAGCGCCGGGGCUGAGAAAAGCGACAGACGGACUGCACCCGGAGAAGUCCUGAUCCUGCGUCAGAGGACCCGGGUUCGAUUCCCGGCAGCUCCAC